GAUGAACGCUGGCGGCGUGCCUAAUACAUGCAAGUCGAGCGAAGCGGGGACGGGUGAGUAACACGUGGAUAACCUCCUAUAAGACUGGGUUAACUUCGGGAAACCGGAGCUAAACCGGAUACUUCUCGUUGGCUCCUCGCUGCAUUAGCUAGUUGGUAAGGUAACGGCUUACCAAGGCAACGAUGCAUAGCCGACCUGAGAGGGUGAUCGGACACACUGGAACUGAGACACGGUCCAGACUCCUACGGGAGGCAGCAGUAGGGAAUCUUCCGCAAUGGGCGAAAGCCUGACGGAGCAACGCCGCGUGAGUGAAGAAGGUCUUCGGAUCGUAAAACUCUGUUAUUAGGGAAGCGGUACCUAAACAGAAAGCCACGGCUAACUACGUGCCAGCAGCCGCGGUAAUAC
rnacentral:rRNA from 1 species